rnacentral:rRNA from 1 species
UACGUAGGGGGCAAGCGUUGUCCGGGAUUAUUGGGCGUAAAGCGCGCGCAGGCGGUUAAUUAAGUCAGAUGUGAAAGGCUACGGCUCAACCGUAGAGUUGCAUUUGAAACUGGUUAACUUGAGUGCAGGAGAGGUAUGUGGAAUUCCCGGUGUAUCGGUGGAAUGCGUAGAGAUCGGGAGGAACACCAGUGGCGAAGGCGGCUUACUGGCCUGCAACUGACGCUGAGGCGCGAAGGCGUGGGGAGCGAACAGG